UACACUCCUGCGGGAGGCAGCAGUGGGGAAUUUUGGACAAUGGGGGCAACCCUGAUCCAGCAAUGCCGCGUGAGUGAAGAAGGCCUUCGGGUUGUAAAGCUCUUUUGUCAGGGAAGAAACGGUGGUGGCGAAUAACUACUACUAAUGACGGUACCUGAAGAAUAAGCACCGGCUAACUACGUGCCAGCAGCCGCGGUAAUACGUAGGGUGCAAGCGUUAAUCGGAAUUACUGGGCGUAAAGCGUGCGCAGGCGGUUGUGUAAGUCAGAUGUGAAAUCCCCGGGCUCAACCUGGGAAUUGCAUUUGAGACUGCACGGCUAGAGUGUGUCAGAGGGGGGUAGAAUUCCACGUGUAGCAGUGAAAUGCGUAGAUAUGUGGAGGAAUACCGAUGGCGAAGGCAGCCCCCUGGGAUAACACUGACGCUCAUGCACGAAAGCGUGGGGAGCAAACAGGAUUAGAAACCCCUGUAGUCCC
rnacentral:rRNA from 1 species